ACAACUUUAGUGUAAUGAACCCUAGGCCACCGCCAGCACACGGACCCCACACAUCUGACAAGAGAAAAUUGACUGAGAGGAGAACAUGGUUAAUUCAGUAAAUAUGGGAAAGCACAUGUAACUUCCUAACCUUCUUACAGAAUCCUGAUAGAUAGAGCGUAUCCCGUCAUCCUCUCCUCACUGUGUAUGAAAAGCGAAUGAAAGCAAUAAGAAGAACCCGGAGGCCGCAGCUGGGCGCCCUGCGGUUUGUAGUUUUUCUUCUACUCUCUUCUUUGGGCCAGAGGAUUCCAUAGCACUAACUGUACAGCCUGCUGAGGACAUCAGGUUUCAAAGAAGUGUCUUAUAGCCUGGUGGCUCACAUCGCCAAUCCCAGCCCCUGGAAGACUGAGCGGAAGGAUCACCUCCAGGCCACAGAGUGAGAAUUUGUCUCAAGAAACAAAACACAAAACAAAACUACAACAGCAGAAACCAAACUGUUGGGGGUUGGCCUGAUACUCUAAUAUUAAUUACUAACCUCCAAGAUCUUGUCCCUUCUCAGAGGAGCACAUUCCCACGUACACCUGUCCUUGUUGUAUAAACCCUGCUCCAUCUAAUGUAAAGCUGAUUGGCUAACAGAAAAUGCUGAUGCUUGGGAUUCAGCAGAAGAAAGGGAGGUGGAGUUCGCAGGCUGGGGUUGAGGGACCGCGAAGAAGAGAAGACAGGAUCAGGAUCAGAGGAGAAGGAAAAAGACUGGCACCAUGGGUGAACGUGGGAAAGGAGCACAUGGCUGGAUCAGCAUGGAUGGAGGAGACGGAAAACAUUAAUAAGUAUUUGGUGACCAUGGAUGGAAGGCAGCUUGGGAUUGGGACUGGGGGGUAAAGUUAGGUUAGAGGGUUAAUAUCUGCAAUGCCUAGG